GUGCUUGCUUCGGCAGCUCAAAUACUAAAAUUAGAAUGAUACAGAGAAGAUUAGCAUGGUCCCUGCACAAGGAUGACACAAAUUUGUGAAGCAUUCUGUAUUUUU